GGAAGUGUGGCAGAGUGGUUUAAUGCACCGGUCUUGAAAACCGGCGACGGUUUAUAGCCGUCCGUGAGUUCAAAUCUCACCGCUUCCGCCA
rnacentral:tRNA from 2 species